GCUAUGGCCCCCUCGGUGGCCUGGGAGCAGGUGAGAGAUGGGCAAAUGGGAUCUUGGGGUUAGGAGAAGGAGCCACCUCAACAAUAUGUGGGGACGCUGCUGACUCCGCCCCACCCCCCUCAGAGCAGCAAACUGGUGCCCCUUCCGCGUCUCCUUUCCCUGCGUCUCCUUUCCCUCGUGCGCACACUGCCCUCCACCUAGGACACCAAGACUGUUCUGGCGCCAUCUCACCCGUGUGCCGCACCCAGGGCACCCCCAACCCCUCCCUGUCCCUGCUUGUUCUCUGUGCCAUCCCAUGGGGCCCCUGCGGGGGUGGGGGCGUGAGUCUGCUGCUGCGCGCCCUCUGGGCCGGCUGGGAGUGGGCUCCAGGGCCCCUGCCCCGCACCAGCGGGGCCCUCCACCCUCUGGGGUGGACUUACCGGAGCCAGAAUGGCUGUGGGGGAGGUGUCCUGGGAGACCCCGCAGGAGGGAAUCCUGGGACCCUCACCUACUCCCUGGGUCCCCCCGGCUGCAGAGGGGCUAUUAAACCUCAGAAGCCAGGUGGGCCCGCCCCAGCUCUGCUCUGGCUCCCCACCUUUCUCUCACACCCCUUAUCUCCAUCUGUCCCCCCAGGAUUUGGGAACGGGAAUGGACUGGGAACCCAGCCAGGCAUCGGAGCGGGUGUGAGAACCCAGAAGCCAGGGUUUGGGAACGGAAAUGGGCUGGCAGCCGGGGCCUUCCCGGGUGCUGUCACCCAGCCAGGUGAGACAGGGGAAGGGGGGGCUGCUGAGGAGGCUGGGUCAGCAUUGGGAGGUCUCCCAGGCUCCCCCAGGGCAGAC
rnacentral:lncRNA from 1 species